rnacentral:rRNA from 1 species
ACUAAAUAGAUACCCUGGUAGUCCACGCCGUAAACGAUGAUUACUCGCUGUUGGCGAUACACUGUCAGCGGCUAAAGCAAAAAGCAAUAAGUAAUCCACCUGGGGAGUACGGCCGCAAGGUUGAAACUCAAAGGAAUUGACGGGGGCCCGGCACAAGCGGAGGAACAUGUGGUUUAAAUUACGAUGAUACGCGAGGAACCGUUACCUGGGCGUUAAACUGUAGAGUGCAUUUUCUAGAGAUAGGAAUUCCCUUCGGGGUCGUUUCUUGCAAGGUGCUGCAUGGUUGUCGUCAGCUCGUGCCGUGAGGUGUCGGG